rnacentral:rRNA from 1 species
GUGAUUCAUAAUAACUUAACGAAUCGCAUGGCCUUGUGCCGGCGAUGGUUCAUUCAAAUUUCUGCCCUAUCAACUUUCGAUGGUAGGAUAGUGGCCUACCAUGGUUUCAACGGGUAACGGGGAAUUAGGGUUCUAUUCCGGAGAGGGAGCCUGAGAAACGGCUACCACAUCCAAGGAAGGCAGCAGGCGCGCAAAUUACCCAAUCCCGACACGGGGAGGUAGUGACAAUAAAUACUGAUACAGGGCUCUUUUGGGUCUUGUAAUUGGAAUGAGUACAAUUUAAAUCCCUUAACGAGGAACAAUUGGAGGGCAAGUCUGGUGCCAGCAGCCGCGGUAAUUCCAGCUCCAAUAGCGUAUAUUAAAGUUGUUGCAGUUAAAAAGCUCGUAGUUGAACCUUGGGCCUGGCUGGCCGGUCCGCCUCACCGCGUGCACUGGUUCGGCCGGGCCUUUCCUUCUGGGGAGCCGCAUGCCCUUCACUGGGUGUGUCGGGGAACCAGGACUUUUACUUUGAAAAAAUUAGAGUGUUCAAAGCAGGCCUAUGCUCGAAUACAUUAGCAUGGAAUAAUAGAAUAGGACGUGUGGUUCUAUUUUGUUGGUUUCUAGGACCGCCGUAAUGAUUAAUAGGGAUAGUCGGGGGCAUCAGUAUUCAAUUGUCAGAGGGU